GCAGUAGCCGCGGGAAUACGUAGGUGGCAAGCGUUGUCCGGAAUUAUUGGGCGUAAAGGGCUCGCAGGCGGUUUCUUAGGUCUGAUGUGAAAGCCCCCGGCUCAACCGGGGAGGGUCAUUGGAAACUGGGAAACUUGAGUGCAGAAGAGGAGAGUGGAAUUCCACGUGUAGCGGUGAAAUGCGUAGAGAUGUGGAGGAACACCAGUGGCGAAGGCGACUCUCUGGUCUGUAACUGACGCUGAGGAGCGAAAGCGUGGGGAGCGAACAGGAUUAGAUACCCGUGUAGUCCCUGUCUCUUAUAU
rnacentral:rRNA from 1 species